rnacentral:rRNA from 1 species
GACGAACGCUGGCGGCGUGCCUAAUACAUGCAAGUCGAACGGAAAGACCCGGCUCUUGUGGGGUGCUCGAGUGGCGAACGGGUGAGUAACACGCGAGUAACCUGUCCCUGACUGUGGGGUAACUCCUGGAAACUCGGGCUAUUAUCGGAUAGGAGCUUUUGCUGCAUGGUGGUGGUUGGAGAGUUUCGGCGGUUGGGGAUGGACUGGCAGCUUAUCAGCUUGUUUGUGGGGUAGUGGCUGACCAAGGCUUUGACGGGUAGGCGGCCUGGGAGCGUGACCGGGCACCAUGGGACUGAGAGAGGGCCCAGAAUCGAACGGGACGCAACAGGGGGGAAUAUUACACAACGGGCGGAAGCCUGAUGCGGCAGCGCUGCGUGCGGGAUGACGGGCUUCGGGUUGUGAACAGCUUUCGCCUGUGACGAAGCGUGCGUGACGGUAAUGAGUAAAGAAGCACCGGCUAACUACGUG